AGUGAACGCUGGCGGUAGGCCUAACACAUGCAAGUCGAACGGCAGCACAGUAAGAGCUUGCUCUUACGGGUGGCGAGUGGCGGACGGGUGAGGAAUACAUCGGAAUCUACUUUUUCGUGGGGGAUAACGUAGGGAAACUUACGCUAAUACCGCAUACGACCUACGGGUGAAAGCAGGGGAUCUUCGGACCUUGCGCGAUUGAAUGAGCCGAUGUCGGAUUAGCUAGUUGGCGGGGUAAAGGCCCACCAAGGCGACGAUCCGUAGCUGGUCUGAGAGGAUGAUCAGCCACACUGGAACUGAGACACGGUCCAGACUCCGACGGGAGGCAGCAGGGGGGAAGAUUGGAAAAUGGGCGCAAGCCUGAUCCAGCCAUACCGCGUGGGUGAAGAAGGCCUGCGGGUUGUAAAGCCCUUUUGUUGGGAAAGAAAAGCAGCAGGUUAAUACCCCGCUGUUCGGACGGUACCCAAAGAAUAAGCACCGGCGAACUUCGG
rnacentral:rRNA from 1 species